rnacentral:rRNA from 1 species
UCGGGAAUUUUGCACAAUGGCCGAAAGGCUGAUGCAGCAACGCCGCGUGAGCGAAGAAGGCCUUCGGGUUGUAAAGCUCUGUUGCCUGCGAAGAAGGGCCCUGUCAGGAAAUGGGCGGGGUUUGCCGGUAGCAGGCGAGGAAGCCCCGGCAAACUACGUGCCAGCAGCCGCGGUAAUACGUAGGGGGCGAGCGUUGUCCGGAAUUACUGGGCGUAAAGGGCGUGUAGGCGGCCUGUUAAGUCAGGGGUGAAAGACCGGGGCUCAACCCCGGGGGUGCCUCUGAAACUGGCGGGCUUGAGUGCUCUAGAGGGCAGUGGAAUUCCCGGUGUAGCAGUGAAAUGCGUAGAGAUCGGGAGGAACACCAGUGGCGAAGGCGGCUGCCUGGGGAGUCACUGACGCUGAGGCGCGAAAGCUAGGGGAGCAAACAGG